rnacentral:rRNA from 1 species
AUUGAACGCUGGCGGCAGGCUUAACACAUGCAAGUCGAGCGGGGGAAGGUAGCUUGCUACCGGACCUAGCGGCGGACGGGUGAGUAAUGCUUAGGAAUCUGCCUAUUAGUGGGGGACAACAUCUCGAAAGGGAUGCUAAUACCGCAUACGUCCUACGGGAGAAAGCAGGGGAUCUUCGGACCUUGCGCUAAUAGAUGAGCCUAAGUCGGAUUAGCUAGUUGGUGGGGUAAAGGCCUACCAAGGCGACGAUCUGUAGCGGGUCUGAGAGGAUGAUCCGCCACACUGGGACUGAGACACGGCCCAGACUCCUACGGGAGGCAGCAGUGGGGAAUAUUGGACAAUGGGGGGAACCCUGAUCCAGCCAUGCCGCGUGUGUGAAGAAGGCCUUAUGGUUGUAAAGCACUUUAAGCGAGGAGGAGGCUACUUUAGUUAAUACCUAGAGAUAGUGGACGUUACUCGCAGAAUAAGCACCGGCUAACUCUGUGCCAGCAGCCGCGGUAAUACAGAGGGUGCGAGCGUUAAUCGGAUUUACUGGGCGUAAAGCGUGCGUAGGCGGCUUAUUAAGUCGGAUGUGAAAUCCCCGAGCUUAACUUGGGAAUUGCAUUCGAUACUGGUGAGCUAGAGUAUGGGAGAGGAUGGUAGAAUUCCAGGUGUAGCGGUGAAAUGCGUAGAGAUCUGGAGGAAUACCGAUGGCGAAAGCAGCCAUCUGGCCUAAUACUGACGCUGAGUACGAAAGCAUGGGGAGCAAACAGGAUUAGAUACCC